ACUAGGGCACAGCCCGUCGAAAGGCGGAUUAAUGCCCUAUGUUCUCGAAAGAAGACAUCUGACUUCGAGCAAAGGUUUUCCGGUAUGGGAUGGGGAUGCGUCUGAUUAGCUUGUUGGCGGGGUAACGGCCCACCAAGGCGACGAUCAGUAGGGGUUCUGAGAGGAAGGUCCCCCACAUUGGAACUGAGACACGGUCCAAACUCCUACGGGAGGCAGCAGUGAGGAAUAUUGGUCAAUGGGCGCGAGCCUGAACCAGCCAAGUAGCGUGCAGGAAGACGGCCCUAUGGGUUGUAAACUGCUUUUAUGCGGGGAUAAAGUGAAUCACGUGUGGUUUAUUGCAGGUACCGCAUGAAUAAGGACCGGCUAAUUCCGUGCCAGCAGCCGCGGUAAUACGGAAGGUCCUGGUGUUAUCCGGAUUUAUUGGGUUUAAAGGGAGCGUAGGCCGGAGAUUAAGCGUGUUGUGAAAUGCAGGUGCUCAACAUCUGAAUUGCAGCGCGAACUGGUUUUCUUGAGUUCACGGGAAGUAGGCGGAAUUCGUGGUGUAGCGGUGAAAUGCUUAGAUAUCACGAAGAACUCCGAUUGCGAAGGCAGCCUACUGUAGUGUUACUGACGCUGAAGCUCGAAGGCGCGGGUAUCGAACAGGAUUAGAUACCCUGGUAGUCCGCGCGGUAAACGAUGGAUGCCCGCUGUUUGCCUUAUAAGGUAAGCGGCCAAGCGAAAGCGUUAAGCAUCCCACCUGGGGAGUACGCCGGCAACGGUGAAACUCAAAGGAAUUGACGGGGGCCCGCACAAGCGGAGGAACAUGUGGUUUAAUUCGAUGAUACGCGAGGAACCUUACCCGGGCUUGAAUUGCAGUGGAAGGAGACAGAGAUGUGACGCUCGUU
rnacentral:rRNA from 1 species